AUUGAACGCUGGCGGCAUGCCUUACACAUGCAAGUCGAACGGUAACAGGUCUUCGGAUGCUGACGAGUGGCGAACGGGUGAGUAAUACAUCGGAACGUGCCCGAUCGUGGGGGAUAACGAAGCGAAAGCUUUGCUAAUACCGCAUAAGAUCUACGGAUGAAAGCAGGGGACCGCAAGGCCUUGCGCGAACGGAGCGGCCGAUGGCAGAUUAGGUAAUUGGUGGGAUAAAAGCUUACCAAGCCGACGAUCUGUAGCUGGUCUGAGAGGACGACCAGCCACACUGGGACUGGGACACGGCCCAGACUCCUACGGGAGGCAGCAGUGGGGAAUUUUGGACAAUGGGCGAAAGCCUGAUCCAGCCAUGCCGCGUGCAGGAUGAAGGCCUUCGGGUUGUAAACUGCUUUUGUACGGAACGAAAAGACUCUUUCUAAUAAAGAGGGUCCAUGACGGUACCGUAAGAAUAAGCACCGGCUAACUACGUGCCAGCCGCCGCCGUAACAC
rnacentral:rRNA from 1 species